rnacentral:rRNA from 1 species
UACGGAGGGUGCGAGCGUUGUCCGGAAUCACUGGGCGUAAAGGGCGCGUAGGUGGCGCGGGCAGUCAACGGUGAAAGUUCGGGGGUCAACCCUGAAUCGGCCGUCGAUACUCCCGGGCUUGAGCACUGUAGAGGCUAAUGGAAUUCCGGGUGUAGCGGUGGAAUGCGUAGAGAUCCGGAAGAACACCGGUGGCGAAGGCGGUUAGCUGGGCAGUUGCUGACACUGAGGCGCGACAGCGUGGGGAGCAAACAGG